rnacentral:rRNA from 1 species
GACGAACGCUGGCGGCGUGCUUAACACAUGCAAGUCGAACGGAAAGGCCCUGCUUUUGUGGGGUGCUCGAGUGGCGAACGGGUGAGUAACACGUGAGUAACCUGCCCUUGACUUUGGGAUAACUUCAGGAAACUGGGGCUAAUACCGGAUAGGAGCUCCUGCUGCAUGGUGGGGGUUGGAAAGUUUCGGCGGUUGGGGAUGGACUCGCGGCUUAUCAGCUUGUUGGUGGGGUAGUGGCUUACCAAGGCUUUGACGGGUAGCCGGCCUGAGAGGGUGACCGGCCACAUUGGGACUGAGAUACGGCCCAGACUCCUACGGGAGGCAGCAGUGGGGAAUAUUGCACAAUGGGCGGAAGCCUGAUGCAGCAACGCCGCGUGCGGGAUGACGGCCUUCGGGUUGUAAACCGCUUUCGCCUGUGACGAAGCGUGAGUGACGGUAAUGGGGAAAGAAGCACCGGCUAACUACGG